UACGAAGGGGGCUAGCGUUGCUCGGAAUUACUGGGCGUAAAGCGCACGUAGGCGGUUUCUUAAGUCGGGGGUGAAAUCCUGGAGCUCAACUCCAGAACUGCCUUCGAUACUGAGAGACUUGAGUCCGGGAGAGGUGAGUGGAACUGCGAGUGUAGAGGUGAAAUUCGUAGAUAUUCGCAAGAACACCAGUGGCGAAGGCGGCUCACUGGCCCGGUACUGACGCUGAGGCACGAAAGCGUGGGGAGCAAACAGGG
rnacentral:rRNA from 1 species